rnacentral:lncRNA from 1 species
UGGUCAUCAUCUAUGGUGCAGAGGGUGGACUGCAAGCUUUGACUCAUUAGCUGCGUCAAGCUUUGACUCAAGCUUUUUUAUUCAACUGAUGUAUGGUGAAAUCCAUGGAGUGUAGUUUAGUCUUGAUUACCCCAAUGUGCAUCAUGGUGCGGGUUAAUGAAUUCUUGAAAGUUUGGGGGUGGUGGGGUUGGUUCUUGGUGUGUUUGUUGUUCGCACAACUUGCUGUAGAUGCGUUUGUUGUGGGGUAUGAGUGGUCUUAGUGGUGCGAAACAAGGGCUGUCAUCUUUCCAUUCCAAGAGACUUAUAUUAUCUAAGGUGUGUAUGUCCAAAGGGGCUUGCAGACAAGCGAUGUGGAGGUCAGUGUCAUCGAUGUCAAACUUGGUGGAAAAAAUUACAAGUCGGGUGAUGAUUGAGACUAGGAUCAAUAGCAUGUAGAAUGACAUGAUGUUGGCAAAUUGUGAGGCAAACUAAUAUCCCAAAUUCACUCACUGUCUCUGCAUCAUGCACACAAAAAAAUAGAUCUCACUUUUGGACACGAUACUUGGUGCAUCCUUGCAUCCUGAAAAAGAGUACGUGAGGAACCAGUGGAUGUACUUCAUUCAUGGGUCAUGCAGGUAAAGGUCUUUUGAUUUAUCGGGGUCGUAGGGGUCUGGGUGGUUAGUGCACAGUUCAUUAUAGAUAGUUACAAGGUUGAAAUCAUCAUAAAAAUUUCAAUAUGGAUACGUGUAUUUGGGGUCAUCAAAUCCUAGGGCUGUGUUGAACUAGGCAACGACGAGGUUGAACUGUUGCCCUCUCAGUUUGUAGGAAAUAAGUGGGAGUGUUGAGGAUGAAAUAUGAGGGUUUCUAGAAUUUAAAACUUGAGUAGGAUUUCCUAACGAGUUCUAUGUAGGCAAAUAUAUCUAUGAUAAAGUAAUUUUCCCAACCGAUGAAAUAGAGAAGCCUGUGCACACCAUUGUAGAUGCCCAAGGUUCUCAAAAUAGGGUCGUGAACAGACUUAUCUAGGAUUAUAUGUAGUUUGUGGCCACAUCAUAAUGUGCCUUCUCCUCUUUGUUCUCAAAUGUGAGGUGCCCUUGAAGUUUGGACUCCAAAGGUUGGUGGAGAGGUUGACCUCGUCAAACUCUGGCCCUCUUUGGUGGCUGUGUGAAGGGUUCUUCUUCUUCAGCAGUUGUAUUGGUAAGGGUUAAUGAUAUAAAUGCUUGGUUGUUCGAGGUUAGAGGAGAGUCAAGGAUGUCAAUGACUGGGUUGUGAAUCUUCGAUUUGGAACUCAAGGGGUUAGCAGUAUUUGGAGAAGACUACUCUCGUG